rnacentral:rRNA from 1 species
UAGGGAAUCUUCGGCAAUGGGGGGAACCCUGACCGAGCAACGCCGCGUGAGUGAAGAAGGUUUUCGGAUCGUAAAGCUCUGUUGUUAAGGAAGAACGAGUGUGAGAAUGGAAAGUUCAUACUGUGACGGUACUUAACCAGAAAGGGACGGCUAACUACGUGCCAGCAGCCGCGGUAAUACGUAGGUCCCGAGCGUUGUCCGGAUUUAUUGGGCGUAAAGCGAGCGCAGGCGGUUAGAUAAGUCUGAAGUUAAAGGCAGUGGCUCAACCAUUGUAGGCUUUGGAAACUGUUUAACUUGAGUGCAGAAGAGGAGAGUGGAAUUCCAUGGGUAGCGGUGAAAUGCGUAGAUAUAUGGAGGAACACCGGUGGCGAAAGCGGCUCUCUGGUCUGUAACUGACGCUGAGGCUCGAAAGCGUGGGGAGCGAACAGG